UUUCCUGUUUUUUUUGCUGCUCUUUCCGUUAUGAUUUCAGUUCAUUAUUUCUAUGUUCUAAAAUCUCUGGAUUUAAUUACCAUACUCGGACAGCUAUACUCAGACUGUUCCACUGUUGCUACUUAGAUUUUUUUAGCUAGCCAGUGAUCUGCAGCUAAGCAAGUAUUACAACUAAAAAAAUGCUAGCCUACAUGUGUACUGAUAGGAAUACUCAUUGGGGGCAGGAUGAACAAGGCCUACAGUUUCUAAAAUAUGAUAAAUGCACAAUUCUAUUAGCAUUUGUUCCUGUAUACAUAACUUUCUGUUGUAUCCUACAUGUGAACCUAUUUGCUUUCAUCUCUCGUGACUUUAUUGGCUUGAAGCCAUUUGCUAUCAUCUCUUGGUCAUACAUAUGAGAUCUUUUCAUCUUCUCAAGCUUUUAAAUUCAUUUGAUCUUCAUCAAACUAAAAGAUGAAGUCAAUUUGCUUACUUUCAGCCUCCAGUUCUAAGUUUGUGCAAAAACUCUGAAUGAGGGGUAUCAAAUUAAAAAAUAGUGCUUACAUGCUAGACGAUUACAAAUGUGAUCUGGGCUCAAUUGCUCAUUACUGUUUUAUUUUGCUUGAUGAUCUAUUAAUGAAAGUAAAAAGUACCCUCUCAUUCAUCGGUCCGCCGUCGGCCACGUCGCUCUGCGACCCCAUCUUCAUUCUGCACAAGCGCCCACCUCGUCCGCGGCACCACACAACAGCUCAGGCGAGGCACCCACCAUCCAUCGGCACAGAUGGGAUGAGGUGAGGAUUAGGGAGACAAUUUCAGAGUUCAGACUUUGUUUCAAUGUUUCGGACAUUCAGAGCUUACAUUGCCUCCAAGUUAGUUCUAUUUAGAUGUAACAUUUUUUGUAGGUAAUGCCCCUUUACUGUUCUUAUUGAUUAGCAUGUUGGUACUUAACCUAUUGGUGUGAUGAACACAAUCCAAUAGUAAUCUUGAAAUUUGAAACAUAGGCUUAGUGCAGUUCGUUUAGCCUAAAGAAUUAGGGGUGUAUUGUUUGAUUGCUUAUGCAUUAUGCAAUUUGGUUAUAGAAUUUGUGACACCUGAUCUGCAUCUCCAGCUCCUUCACACCCGUGCAACAGAUAAGGUAAUUAUUCUAUUUGUUUGGUUGGCAUGGAUGAAUUUUGUGAGUCGAUAGGCUUCAAAUUUGGGCUGGCUCCGCCACUACUUCUGGGACAGGACAUUUAGAGCUCUUAGCAGGUUGGCUCACACAGCUUUCAUAUAAAAAUCUUAGUGCUUAUCUGUUUUCCCCUUUAAUUCAUUUGACUUGCAAUUAGUCAACAAACAUUCUGCAACAACAUCUGAUCCUCCAAACAUCCAAAAGAUACUUAGUUACUUACCUUACUUUUUGGCAGAUGCACUUCAUUUUACCAUGCCCAAACAGACUCAGUUGAUCCUUGAUUUAUUAGUUCUUGGACGACUCAGUUGCCAAUACUCCCAUUUAAAAUUGAAUGUUGUGCUAGCAAGCUAAAAACUUCACCCCAAAUAGAAUGUUCAUUCUAUUUUUUGUCCUAAGUCAAUCCACCUUAAAUUAAGAAAAGCUUAUACAAGAAAAUACCAAUUAAAUAAUUAAUCAUAUUUAUAUCAGUAUAUCACCAUCUAAGCACCAUUAGAUUCAUCAUGAAAUAUAUUUUCAUAGUACAUCUAUCUGGUGUCAUAUGUGUUCAUAAUCUUUUCUAAAUACCAGCAAUCUGUAGUGAUUGAUGUAUUCUUGAACUGCUACAGGCUCUAUCAAAUACCUUAACUGUAGACGAGCCUUUCUAUCUGAAAUCACAAUUUUUUUAUUGGAACCAGACAGGAAUGGAUGCAUCACUCUUGGCAAUAUCAGAAUGGUUAGGUCAUAGACUCAUAGCUACACCUAAUUCCAGAUUGGUUAAUGCUAGAAUAUAACAUGUCCUUUUUUUUGUGUAAAUCUAAUAUUUUUUUUGCUUCACACUGUUUAGGCAUUAACGAGAGAAGCUGAUGAUACAAUGAAGGAAUCGCGAGUUCAAGAUGUUCUUGUUUCGGUACAUUUGGUUUGUAUCAUAUGACACCAUUUUGUUCAUGCAAAAAUUCCAAGAGUUAUGUGCAGAAGCAGUUAGUGUGCAUCAGCUUGAAGCAUUGGAUAGAUGGGAGCAACAUGUGCGAUCUGCUUAUCAAUCAAUGCCAGUUCAUCUGGUGAUCAGAAUGUUGUCGCUAAAUGAUUAGGUGGGAAAGGGAGGAUUCCAAGCUGUACGUGCAGAGUGGUGACAACAAGUGGAGCUACAGAGAAAAGAUUGAGUUCACGAUCUACUUCGCAUAGGAGAUCUCUCAAGGCCUGCUAUUUGAGAUGGAGGACCAGAUCCCUUCGCUCGCUGACCUUAUUAAGUUCGGCAGCUUGCUGGAUUUCCAACAACAAUACAGGUGAUGUCGGCCAUUGAUGAGGGGGCAUGUUGAAGCAGCAGAAUGUCCGUGCUAAUAGGUAAUCAGAUAAAUAGAUGGUAUUCCCCUGAUCCUUUGUUUG